rnacentral:rRNA from 1 species
GAUGAACGCUGGCGGCGUGCCUAAUACAUGCAAGUCGAGCGAACGGACGAGAAGCUUGCGUCUCUGAUGUUAGCGGCGGACGGGUGAGUAACACGUGGAUAACCUACCUAUAAUACUGGGAUAACUUCGGGAAACCGGAGAUAAUACCGUAUAAUAUUUUGAACCGCAUGGUUCAAAAGUGAAAGACGGUCUUGCUGUCACUUAUAGAUGGAUCCGCGCUGCAUUAGCUAGUUGGUAAGGUAACAGCUUACCAAGGCAACGAUGCAUAGCCGACCUGAGAGGGUGAUCGGCCACACUGGAACUGAGACACGGUCCAGACUCCUACGGGAGGCAGCAGUAGGGAAUCUUCCGCAAUGGGCGAAAGCCUGACGGAGCAACGCCGCGUGAGUGAUGAAGGUCUUCGGAUCGUAAAACUCUGUUAUUAGGGAAGAACAUAUGUGUAAGUAACUGUGCACAUCUUGACGGUACCUAAUCAGAAAGCCACGGCUAACUACGUG